rnacentral:lncRNA from 1 species
AUAGUCUGGAAGUAAUGAAAGUGGUGCAUGAUGAUAAACAUGUUAGCAGCAAGAACAUACCUCUAUUGUUGGAACUGAGAACUGAACGCUGCGUGUUCACAUUUUAAGUGCAACAAAUGACUGGAGAGCUCUUUGUACUCCAUUCUCAGGCAAAUGGAUGGAACUAGAAGAAACCAUCCUGAGUGAGGUAACCCAGUCACAGAAAGACAAACACAAGCCUUCAUCCAGUAGCUGAUGGAAGCAGAAGCAGAGAUCCACAGCUAAGCACUGAGCCGAACUCCUAGAGUCCAUGAAGGAGUGAUGAGCAAAGGGGUCAAGACCAUGCUAGAUGACCUGAGCAAGUGGCAGCUCAUGGACCCCAGCCAGACAGCUGAGGAACCAGCAUCGGACUAAACCAGGCCUCCUGAACUUGGGUGACAGUUAGGAGGCCUGGGCAGUCCAUGGGGCCUCUUGCAGUGGAACCAGUAUUCAUUCCUAGUGCACGAAUGGACUUUGGGAGCCCAUUCCUCCACGGAGGGAUACUCUCUCAGCCUAAAUACACAGGGGAGGGUCUAGGCCCCGCCCAAAAUGAUGUGACAGUCUUUGAAGAUUCCCCAAUGGAAGGCCUCACUCUUUCUGGAGCGUGGAUAGGGAGUGGGAUGGGGC